rnacentral:rRNA from 1 species
AGUGAACGCUGGCGGUAGGCCUAACACAUGCAAGUCGAACGGCAGCACAGUAAGAGCUUGCUCUUACGGGUGGCGAGUGGCGGACGAGUGAGGAAUACAUCGGAAUCUACUUUUUCGUGGGGGAUAACGUAGGGAAACUUACGCUAAUACCGCAUACGACCUACGGGUGAAAGCAGGGGAUCUUCGGACCUUGCGCGAUUGAAUGAGCCGAUGUCGGAUUAGCUAGUUGGCGGGGUAAAGGCCCACCAAGGCGACGAUCCGUAGCUGGUCUGAGAGGAUGAUCAGCCACACUGGAACUGAGACACGGUCCAGACUCCUACGGGAGGCAGCAGUGGGGAAUAUUGGACAAUGGGCGCAAGCCUGAUCCAGCCAUACCGCGUGGGUGAAGAAGGCCUUCGGGUUGUAAAGCCCUUUUGUUGGGAAAGAAAAGCAGCAGGUUAAUACCCCGCUGUUCUGACGGUACCCAAAGAAUAAGCACCGGCUAACUUCGU